rnacentral:rRNA from 1 species
GAGUUUGAUCCUGGCUCAGAUUGAACGCUGGCGGCAGGCCUAACACAUGCAAGUCGAACGGUAACAUGACUAGCUUGCUAGUUGAUGACGAGUGGCGGACGGGUGAGUAACGCGUAGGAAUCUACCCAGUAGCGGGGGAUAAGCCAGAGAAAUUUGGUCUAAUACCGCAUACGCCCUUCGGGGGAAAGCAGGGGAUCUUCGGACCUUGCACUAUUGGAUGAGCCUGCGUGAGAUUAGCUUGUUGGUGAGGUAAUGGCUCACCAAGGCGACGAUCUCUAGCUGGUCUGAGAGGAUGAUCAGCCACACUGGAACUGAGACACGGUCCAGACUCCUACGGGAGGCAGCAGUGGGGAAUAUUGCACAAUGGGCGCAAGCCUGAUGCAGCCAUGCCGCGUGUGUGAAGAAGGCCCUAGGGUUGUAAAGCACUUUCAGCAGUGAGGAAAGGUUAGUAGUUAAUACCUGCUAGCUGUGACGUUAACUGCAGAAGAAGCACCGGCUAACUCCGUGCCAGCAGCCGCGGUAAUACGGAGGGUGCGAGCGUUAAUCGGAAUUACUGGGCGUAAAGCGCGCGUAGGUGGAUUGGUCAGUCAGAUG